ACUCCAAAACCUGGCAAGUUCAUGGUAAAAACAAAAAAAAGACAGAAAAGGUACAAUUUAUUUUCAGUGUACCUAUAAUGUCCAAUUUUUCUUUCAGCUCAAUUCCUAGAUUUCAUUCACUUCAAUUCUUAUGUAGGUACUUGGUGGUGGCAUUGCUUCACUUCCCUUGGUAUGCUCUCUUCGCCCAAGUUCCGAGAAUCAAGAAAAAAAAUACUAGUGCUUGCAUGAAUAUGAGCAAAAAAAACCACAAAGGCCUUUGCGUAGAAACAUCACCUCCACACCACCUCCAUUCAUGCGUAGUACAUGCUUCUCCUGCCGCCCCACCACCUGGAUCCAACGAGGCUGCGUCACACUGGCCCCGGAUCCGCCCGCUUCCAAUGAGGCUGCGUCACCCGCCGGCGCACCUCUGCCUCGCCGUGGGCAGUGGAUGCUCCUCCACAGCUCAACCUCCUGGUAGCGGGUAGUUCGAUGCUCCCUGUCGCGCUACGAGCAGCGCUCCCUUGAGCUCCACAAGAAAUUCUUUCCGGCUGCGUCUGCACCUCUGAAAAGGCCUGGUGUUUAGUUGGUGUCUGUGUGGUACCUACACCAGCAUUUUCCAUCAAGACCUCUAGAAAGAGAGAUCAUCUCAAGGUGGUUCAAAUGUGUCGAGUGGCAGCAUCGCUUGAUCCCUAGUGGUUGCCCGCGCAAGGAGGAUACAGGGACGCUACAGUGGUGGAGGAGUCAGUACAUGUAGUAGCUAUCUCAAGAAAAGCCAGCGGCCUGCUCUGGCCAUGCCGCACCACCACUGGCACGUCCACCAUGGUUGCUGGCAGCCGUCCAAGUUGAGCGCUGAUGGGAGUCCUUAGCAUGCUUCAACGACACUCUCUCAUAUCAAUCUCUCUCUUUCUUUGCUCCUGCUAUUAAAAUGUGUAGAUGUGCUGCUUUGCUAAUUGAGUAGUUGGGAAGAUGUGAAAAGAACAUGCUCUCUAGGUGUGUGAUUAUUCCUGUGAGAACAAAUGUA